rnacentral:rRNA from 1 species
UACGGAGGAUCCGAGCGUUAUCCGGAUUUAUUGGGUUUAAAGGGUGCGCAGGCGGGAGAUUAAGUCGGCGGUGAAAUUUUGCAGCUCAACUGUAAAAGUGCCUUCGAUACUGGCUUCCUUGAGUGUGGAUGAAGUAGGCGGAAUUUGUGGUGUAGCGGUGAAAUGCUUAGAUAUCACGAGGAACUCCGAUUGCGCAGGCAGCUUACUAAACCGCUACUGACGCUCAGGCACGAAGGCGUGGGGAUCAAACAGGAUUAGAUACCCU